CGCCAGUUGUCCACGUGAUCUCACGGAAAGGGGCGUGUUUGUGCGUCACGAGGAGGGAGCAGCCAGAAAAAGGCAAGAUUUGUUUUGGCUGUCCCACAUCCUGCCUUGUAUGAUGUGAAAGGUUAUUUUGAUGCACAGGGCUUCACUAUGAAGAAUCCUGCUUCCUCCUGCUGGGAUGUGUGUCUAAGAUCUUAGAGGGGAAUAGUUGUUACUAUGUCACAAUCUUUAAGAAGUGGAAAGCAGCUUCCUGAAUCCAGCAAUAGAAAGGGAAACAAAUCAGAGGAAACACCAGCUUGGGCUGAGCGUCUAGAACAUUCGCUGAUGGGUCUCGACAAGAAGAUAGACAACAACAUGAUAAAACUUGAUGCUACCUCUUCUGAGAUGAAGUCAUUACGAGAGAGUUUUCAAUUUGUGCAGGAAAAUAUUAUUUCCCUGAAUUCUGAACUUAAAGAGGCGAAGCGUCAAAUUGCGGAGGUUUCAGCUCGCUUGGAAAAGUCUCAACAGAAGAUUAUCGAUUUGGAAGCAAGAUCUUGUCGGAAUAAAAUUCAAAUUGUUGGAUUGAAGGAAGGAUCUGAGACUGGAGAUUUAUUAGACUAUUUUGCUAACUUGUUUCAAUUUCUGUUUCUGGAUAUUUUACCUCAAUCUCCUGACAUCGAAAGAGCGCUUAGGAUUUUCACUUGGAAAUCUUGGAACCUGGAUAAACCAAGAAUAAAUGAGUUUAUUCCUUCACGGAUCUGUUCCAAGAUGGCCGAUUGAUGUCUUUUGAGAAAUUAGUAACUAAAUACUCACUCUCGUAUUCACAUUUCCUGCAAUAUCUUCAGGUUUUGCUUGAGGGGAGUUCUGGAAAAUGCAGCAAAAGUCAAGAUUCUGCAUUUAAAUCAUCUUCUUGGCUGACGUUUAAGCAAAGAGUAAUGUGUCCUCUUGAGAAGUGGAUGUAAUGGCAAAUCUUUGCACAGGUCAGUGGUAUUCAAUAACAUUUUGUUGCGGUCCGCAGUUGCACUCAUUGACUCAUUUGAGGUUUCCUCUUGGAAAUGCUUCAACACAGUGAACUUCUGGUUUUGAUCAUUUCUCUUUGGGGUGUUGCCAAACAUAAGCAUUUUCCCAUAAGCUGAUAAUAAGAAGCUUCAGAACCAAAACUGUGGCACUAAACACUCAAUUAAGCUCAAUUACGCUUACCUGCAGUAAUAGAAUUGACCUGUCCCAAUCUUGUGCAUAAUAGAAAUGGAGAGGUAAUUGAGAUUCCACAAUACAGAACAUGCCAUCCAGCACACUUUUCCUUAAUCAAACUUAAAAAAAAGGACAUAAGACAUUUAGUGCAGAAACAUACAGAUUUACCAGAGUCUGUGUUGUACCCAGCGUCCAAGAUUUGGUUGCAUUGAAAUCAGUACAAUAUGCAGUGGCAAAGGAUGAUUUUUUGGGCAGCAAAACUAAUAAGUAUUAGAGUAAUUAAAUUACGUUAAAGGUUGGGGAUACGUGCAACAAUUUGUAGAGAUUUGAAAGAAGGAAUUCAGUUGCAAAUACUGCUAUCCUUGUAAGUACCUACCCAUUUAUUUAUUAUAGUGCACAUAGACCUCUGGUUCAAAUACAUGCAAGUAUUUAUGUACUUUUGCACAUUUAUCAGUAUUUCUCACUUUGUUUUUAUAUAAUUCUUUAUUCUUUAGAAUUGUUGAAUGUUGUUUCCUGUUGCAUGCCAUGCUAAUACACCACAGAAAAUUCGUACUACAUGUAAAUACAUACAGUGAACAAAAUCCUUGCACUGCUACUCUGCAAUUCAACAAGGUCACGUGACAACACUUCAAGGGCAAUUAGGAAUGGGUAGUAAAUGCUGGCUUUAUAGGCAAGCAUCAUAAAAAAUGAAUAAAUACAUAAUAAUAAUGUAUUCUUUAAAGUUACCUCUUUUGCCUCACCUCACCAGCUUCCCAAAAACUCAAGCCUAUCUGGUAACAGCUGGUUUGAUUUCCAUUGCCAGACUGGGCUGGUUUAGGAUGUGACCUCUCACCCCUCUCCUACAACCAUUCACUCUGCAGGGAUCCUCCUUGAGAAGAGUGGCAAUACCUCCUUUCUUUUUUCCCCAAGUCCAUUUUUUCCUUGCACCUCUCCCUCUCUCUGGCCCCUCCACCUUUACCUCUGACCACUGUAUGGGCACAUACUUGUUAAAUAUCCAUUCAACCAAUUCUCAUAAGAAAUCGGAGCAGGAGUAGGCCAUCUGGCCCAUUGAGCCUGCUCCGCCAUUCAAUAAGAUCAUGGCUGAUCUGGUCAUGGACUCAUCUCCGCCUAUCUGCCUUUUCCCCAUAACCCUCAAUUCCUCUACUAUGCAAAAAUCUACCCACCCUUGUCGAGUACAUUUACUGAGGUAGCCCCCACUGGUUCAUUGGGCAGAGAAUUCUACAGGUUCACCAAUCUCUGGGAAAAGCAGUGAAUAGUGAUAGAAAUGGAUAAAUCACUGGACUAGCAAUCCAGAGACCAGAUCUAAAAAAUUGAAGAUGUGAAUUCAAAUCCCUCCAUGGUAGCUGGGAAGUUAAAUUGUUAAUUUGGUUAUCUGGAUUAAAUUUGAACUAAAAACUAAUUUUACUAAUAGCAAUGACAAAACUACUGGAUUGUCUUUUAAAAAGCCAUCUGCUUAAGUAAGAUGCCCUGUAGGGAACAAGAUCUGCCACCCUUACCUUGUCUAGCUUAUAGAUCCUUCCCAGAUGAUGGCAGCAUUCUGUUCCUGAGAACUGUUUUUUACCCACAGUAGAUGACAAACCUAUCCCACUGGUCUCUUAAGCGCUCCAAAUAGAGCAAGUCAAACAUUUGUAAGGUAACCUGCAUGUGUGACUCAAGAUCCACAAAAGUGAUGUAGCAGACUGGCCCAAUGAAUCACUCUACUGAUCAUAACAAUUGUCUGGACCAUUUGGCACCUGAUUUCAACAUGGCAAAGUCACUUCAAGUCUAGAAAAGGACUGAAACCUGCACUUUUACCCAUCAGACAGAUUUCCAUAUGUAAUAUUAAUGUAGUCAUCUACAAUGUCAUGGAUAAUGAGGGCCUUUGUCUCAACAGAAAAGAAGUUCUGCAAGGAGCUGUGAUGCUGGUGAAGAGGGGUACAGGGUGUAGCAGUGAUAGUUAAACCACUGAACAUAGAGCCCCAUAACUUGUGGUUUCUUUGUUACUUUUGUAUGGUUUAAUCAUCAAAUAAAUUUUGACCUUGUUAAUAUCCCUUUGAUCGGUGGCCAUUUACCAAGAGAACUCUAACUCGUAAAACCUAUCAGGAGAUGCGGAGGAGGCUUGACUCAGAAGCAGAGUAGCAGAGACGACUUAGCAGUGAGUGACAACUCUAAUAGUAGACUGCAAAAUAACAAGCUAUGGAGGGCCACUGAACAAGAGAGAACAAAAACUUACACAACAGGGUCAACUUUAGGCAGGAAGAGUGGAAUCUAGGAACAACUGGUCAAGGCCAGUUGGUUUGAUGAAUGAAAAGGGACUGUAGCUGAGAACUGGUUUAAAUAGGCUGCAGGUGAUGAGUCUGGAAUGAGGAGCAGGUGAAUUGUAUUAGCUGGGUGGAGGCUGGGAGACAGCAGUGGGAAAUAAUCCAACAAGCACCAAGAUAAAUUUUAGGAGGGGGGAGUGAAGGUGUUGGUCUGAAAUUUUGACUGUUUAUUAAUUUCCAUAGAUGCUGCCUGACCUGCUGAGUUCCUCCAGAAUUUACUCUGUGUUACUCUGGUUUUGUAAUUAGUUGUUCCAAGUAUAUAUCUCCAAAAUUGCUCAGCUGUAGUCUGGGAUUUUAUUCAUUUCUGUGUGAAAACCAGCCAAUAAAUUGACAGAGAUCAACACUUUUACCUUUGUGCAGGAUAUUGUUGGUGGCACCCAUUUUUCCAAUAUUUCACCCUUCAUAAAUAGUUUGUGAAGCUGGUUUAUUACUAAAGGUAUAUAAUCACUUAUACCAAUGUUGUUUUCCUGAUUCUAUAACAACAAGUGGAAGAAUUAAAUUUAAUGAUUUGUAAAUCAGAAUGAUGUAUUAUUUUUUCAUUGUACCAAUAAUUUAAAAAACCAAAUUAAAUGUUGCCACAAAAACAGGCUUCUUGAAGAAUUUAUUACAAUGAGACAAAAGCUUGCACGCAAAAUAGAAAUAGGUUUAAAAUUCUCCCUACUUUCUCAGGGAUCACCAUUUGGACCCUGCACUCACCUGAAGUGAUCUGCCAAUUAUCAUGAACCACCCUCACCUCCACAGCAUGCGCACACACACCCAAGCCACCAAUCAUUUUAGUUGGUGUGGUGAUAAAUGUACUAAAUCUCUACUUAAGAAUGCCAGUACCUAUAGUCUCUCUUCAUAGUUAUUGCUUUUGUUUCCUAUUGCCAAAUUGAUGAAUAUGUUGGAACUUUAUUUCUAUGUUGCUACAUUUUUCUGCUUACUAUGUACCUGAAUUGCUGUAAUUUAAUUUGAACAUGUAUAUACGCUAUCCUAGCAAUUUGAUCAUUUUGCACAUACCUGUAAAUGAGAUGUAAAACCAGAUUAGAUCACACUCAUGACUAUUUCCAAUCAAACUGCAAACAUCAAGAAGUACAAAAAAACUGGAUGAACUCAGCAGGUUGGGCAGCAUUUGUUGAAAGAAGCAGUCAACGUUUCGGGUCAAGACCCUUCGUCAGGACUAAAGAAGGAGGGGGCAGGGGCCCUAUAAAGAAAGUGGGGAGAGGGUGGAAAACCAAUCAGAGGAAAGAUCAAGGGUUGGGGGAGGGGAAGCAGGAGAGGUGAAGAAGGAAUCGAAGGGGAAAGCACUAUGGGUAGUAGAAUAAGGCAGAGUCAUGAGAGGUAAUAGACAUGAACAUCAAGAAAUUGCUUAAGUAGUUUCCUGUGAUCUUUUCCCUGCGUCAGUCACACACCUAACUUGCACAUGGGAUAAUUCUUUGCUGAUGUAAAUUGGAACUUUUGGGUGUAACCCAAGACUUUAAUUGAAAACCCACAGAAGAGUGAGGAGCAUGAUAGUUGUAAACUCUGAGGAAAGCAAAGUACAGAACAAAUUUUGCAGAGGCAGAAUAUUUUGUGCAAAAGUCUAUUAGCACUGAUCCUAUGUUAUAUUUGGGGUUGGAGAGUUUGGAGUGUGGGGGAGAGAGGAUGAAAAUAUUUUUGAGAUAAAAUCAGAAGCAGCCUCCUUUGCAAUGUCAAUUUGUAUGGAAGUUGUGACAAUAAUGUGCUUCUCAGGGCCAGCAUGUAUAGUAUUGGUUGCAAAUAGAGUAUUGACAAGCCACGUGGAGUUGAUAGACAAGCUCCAUAUGUCUUCUGCAUUAACAAGUGCAGGAGGCAUAGUGUUGGCUUCCAGGAUUCGCUGUCUCUUGUGAUGUGCUAAUUUGGUUACUCUAACCAGUUGGAUAAUCAGCCAUUAUAAUUCUACUGGUGAGAUAACUGUUGAAAAUCUAUCUCGACCUCCUUUCAGCCUCGUGACUUAUACAUACAUCAGUUUAAUUAUGAGAUGGAUCUCUUUUCAUUAGUUCUUUUUCUAUUCUUCAUCUCCUGAUAUAUUACUUGCUUCUUUCUAUGAAAAGAUGGAGUCUAAAACACCUCUGGUCCUCUGUGACAUUUGACCAUAUCUGAUUGAAAAUUUGGAUUUUGCUUUUGACUUGCAUAGAAGUAAUUUUGUCUUCAAAAGUUUCACAGAAGCAAAUUAUGGACAGUACUAAGUUUCAUGGUUAGGAUGGUUCCAUGUGACAAAAUUUUAUCUCAAGGAUUUUUGGAGCCUGGAAGUCUGUCUCUUGCUUUAACCAUCCUUUGUUAAAAAAAGAUUUCUUAGGAACAGUCAUAAACACAGGAAAGUUUGGGCUUGAUUUACUGCUCUGGCCUUUCAGUAUUUGGCCAUCUGGCUUUUCAGCAUUUUAAACACAAAAAAAACUGCUCUGUUUAACAAAUCCCCAAAUAUCAAAUAUGGAGUUUUAACUCUAUCCUGUCUUGUUACUUAACCCAUUUCAUUACUGGCCCGAGAAUUGGUACAGUUGGUACAGAAAUGGUACAGUUUCACUUCUGCAAGAAAAAGAUUUUGCCAAAUUAUGGAAUGGAAAUUCCUUCUAUAUAUUCAAUUGGCCACCAGCUCAUGAAAUAUGUACCUUUAUAACAUCACUUGUGUGGGGAGCAUUAGACAGUUGUGAUUCAGUUCCUACUCCACUGUAACUAGCUAUUGAAGGAGGAGUUGUGGCAAUGACAGUAAAAGGGACCCACAGCAGCAACUUACAUUUCUUCAUUUGUUUGUGAAGAGUUGAAGGAUCUGUCGCAAGAAGUGUAUCAAAAUCAAAUACCCUCCAAUAAAAAACAAAGAUGCCAACUUCUUAGAAUGGUGGGGAGAUUGAGUGUGGGCAGUGAUGAGUGUUGGAAGAAGUUGCUGUGUGAGUUGCCUGUCCUUUGUACUUGCUUUUAAAUGAAGGCAGUCCGUUUAUCAGGAGGAAGCCAAAUGAAAAUGUAUUCCUCAGUUUUGGUUACAUUCGUUGGGAGGUCUGUACCUUUAUCAAGAAAAAGCUUGAUUAUGCAUCAUUCCCUUUGAAGCUGAGGUUAUCCAAAGGAAACCAUGAGACAUCUAUCUAUUAGGUGUGGUAACUGAAAUUAGUAGGUACAGUGGACUGUCUCAGCAUGAAUGAGUCGUGAGGUUCCUGGGUGCAUAGCAAUGAUCAUAACAAUUUUGGUGCUCACACUCCAUCUGUACAUUCGGGAGCAACAGUCUUUGUGGUUACAUGUUGUUCCCUGAACCACUAAUAUGCAGUAACAAAAAGCUCUUGGGCGUCAUCCAGACUUGCAUAAGAACAUAAAUUGCAGUCUUCACCUCCUUUGAAUGUAACUUCCACACACUCCGACCUACCUCUAAAUUAUUAGUUCCAAAUAAUCCAGGUGUGAGAUUAUCCCUAUUUUUAUUAUUGUUUUCCAGUGAAUGUAUAUCUGAAGCAUUUUCACAGGGGAGUUGCUAAUUUUGCAUUCCAAAUGGGUUGGUGUUACCAAUGUCUUUUGCCUUUUGCUCAUAGGUACAUCAAAUGCAUAGAAGCAUGUGUUUAAAAGUUUCAAUUUGCUUUAUACAUAUAGGGAAUCAUGUUUGACUUUAUACUUAAAUUAAUUUGUAUAGUGCAUAAAAAUCAUUUAUACAAUUGAAAUUCAGGCACAAUCUUUCUUGAAAUUACUUAGCUAAUCCCACAUAUUUGAGCACUGAAUUAUCUGCUGGGCUGGGUUAACAUAAUAACUGAUUAUUCAGAAAAUAAGGAAUUCUAUUUUACCUGUUUUAUCAAAGUAUACCAGUUUCCUUAUCUGAGCCUUCUACUUCUUCAAGUAAAAAUGCCAUUACAUUUGUCAUAGGAAGAUAAGACCACUAGUCUGUGACUUUCUCCAGCCUUUCAGACUGCUAAUUUCUUCAAGACUGCUGAUUUUUUAGGAACUCCACCCUGGGAUCUCACCAUUACCACUACAGAGACAUUUACUUGACAACAGUUAGUUAAAGUUGCCAAUAGCUUAGAAGAGAAAGCCACUUAGGAGAAGCGUUGGGACACGAAUGAGACUGAGGACCUGGAAUAGAAGAUGCUGUUUUUGAGAGAAAAUGCAUACAGAUGAAUUGAUAUAGCUCAGAGAUACAGAUCACUUUGCCUAGACCUAGCUGGCUAAUUUACUACUGCAACCUGAGCUGUGUUACAAUGCUUUUGCUGCUGAUCUCCUGAAGUCCAGUUGAAACUGCAUUUAGUGAGAAAACUACUCAUUGCCACAUUCAGCCAAAUGAUGCCAAGAGCAGUCUGAUCAAUGAUGGCUUUAGAGUUUUGAAAGUGGAGAUGGAGGCCUGUCACCCUAGUCCUAGGAUAACACUGCAGAAGGCAAUGUUGUAGAGCCAACCAUCCUCAGUUGUUUCAUCAGUGACCCUACCUCCAUCAUAAAGUCAGAAGUGGGGAUGUUUGCUGAUGAUUGCACAAUGUUCAAAUCUACUCAAAAUUGCUUAGAAAAUGAACCAGUCUGUAUCACUUGCAGCAAGUCCUAAUCAUUCAGAAUGGACUAAUAAGUAACAAAUAAUAUUUGCAUCAUGCAAGCACCAGGCAGUGACCACCUCUGCUUGGUGAUCUUAACUAACUACCCAUAAUGGAGACAGAAGAUACUGCAGAUGCUGGAGGAAUUCAGCUGGUCAGGCAGCAUUUGUGGAGAGAAAUGGACGUCUUGAUCUAGUUGAAGGGUCUUGACCCAAAAUAUCGACUGUCAUUUCCUUCCACAGAUGCUGCCUGACCUGUGCAGUUGCUUCAGCAUCUUGUUUGUUGCUUGUACCUCCCCAUGACAUUCAUUGUUAAAUCCCCACCUUUCAACAUCCAGGAGUCACCGUUGAUCAUUAGCUUUACCACCACUUCAGCUAGCAGACCAGAGACUGGGUAGUUGUGGCAAAUAACUCACUUCCUGACUUCACAAAGCCAAUUUACCAUCAACAAGGCACAGAAGACUCUGCUUUUCUGCAUGAGUGGAGCUCUGACGACACUCAAACAACCUUGCAUCAUCUAGGACCAAGCAAUCUGUUUGGCCAAACUCAUUCACUUUGAGUGGUUGAUUGGUCACCACUUACUACUUGCAUUGCUAGGGAGAAGAGUGUCUGCUGAACAUAUUUCCGACAUUAGUCCAGCAACUGUAAGUGAAUCUCUAGAAGUAAUAUGAGAGUGUGAUACUGAGAUGGGUCAAGAUCUUCAUUGUUUUCCUCCUCUGCACUAGAUUCUCCUGCAGAUGUCCCUCUUGUGCUUUCAAUUUGUCCUGCUGUGUCACAUUGUGUAGAGUAGGCGCACAAUGACUAACCAAAGGAUCUAAGAUGCUGGUAUUGUAGUAGGUAGUUUGCUGGACUAAUAAGGAAUUCAGGAUCCACCAUGGGGGUGGAAUAAAGAUUUAUUUUGAAAUAAAGGGUUUAGUAGUGAUGACCACAAUAAACACCACAAACUAAAAGGCCACAGAUGGCAGAUGAUGGAAACUUAAGAUACAAACAGAAACUGGUGGAAACAUUCAGUAGGUUAAGAAUAUCUAUGAAGACAGGAACAAGAGUUAAUGUUACAGGCCAAUGACCUUUUAUUAGAACUCAGCAGGUUGAACAGAUAUCCUUUGUCUCCAAGCAGUCAGUCUUUAAUCAAACAGCUUUAAAAAAGAUCAAUGAGUUCAGACUUCCUCAGGAGGAAAUGAUCAUGAUAGUUCCUAGGAAUCUAGGGCACAUGUACAUUGAUAUAUUUUCUUGGUUGGAGGCCAACUACACAUUGAUGGUCUGGAAGCCUUAUAGUUUAUGAACGUGAUUUCACCAUGAGUAUUUUCAGAACAACUCACAUAUUGGUUUUAAAAUAAGCUGCUGUAAGCACUGACUAUUUAUUAGUAUAUUUGCCACUCUUUCAAUGAACCCACUAACCUGGUGUUCUCUUCUAUCCUUCGUUUCAAUACUGAAUUUCAGGAAUCUCAACAAACUCAUGCAUGACAGUCUCACUGAGAUUGCAGUACACGGAAUUAAAUAUUCAGUUCACUAUGCCUCUAAGAUCAGUGUUUAGGUUGAAUCCAGAAGUUUUCUUUGUUGGAAUCAGCUCAGAAUACACUGACAUUUUAGCCACAUAUAACUCCCCUAUUCUUCUAUAAACUUGUUACAAUUAAUUAUAUCCUCGUCCCCCGACCUUCCUCUCUAUCUUUGUAGGACAGGGUUUCUCAAAUGGGGUUCUGCAAGAGAUCACUAGGAGUUCCAUGGGAGAUCAUGAUUAAAAAAAAACAUUGUGUUUUGGCACUAGCCAUCACAGUGGUGGGCAGUGACCGGGCAGCCCCGUUAGCAAUCUGGUUAGAGGCCUCUCAGCCCAGUAUGGCAGUGUGCAAUAGGACCAUGUUGAUUUGGUCGAGUCCAUUCUCAGUUUUUGACGUGAGAUAGGGGAGGCCUUUGAUAAUCGGUGAGGGGAGGAUGGUAAGCUGUUGAAGAGUGUAAAGUGCAUUUUCCCAGCAUUGAAUGGACCUGCCCAACUUGGGCUGUGACAUCACCCUCUCCCUGUGUAAAAUACAUAGGGGUAUUUUAUUAACCCCAGUGUUUUAUCGAAAUGUCUGAUGGUCCAAUGUGAUUUUUGAAGAGGACGUGUGAGAUGAAAGAGGAGGAUUCUAGGCCUAGGCGUACAGACAACCUAAUAAGGUUAAUGAUGAAGAAUUACAAUCUUCAGAGUCAUUUCACUGCAUUAGUUCAACAACAAACAGACACAAAAGAAGUCUGUCUUUACAAUGAAAGUUUCUUAUCAAUGGAUUUUACAUGGACGGGUGAUCCAAGUUGUCCUGUUCCGUUUUGCCUGGUCUGUGGCAAACAACGUACAAAUGCAGCAAUGGACCCAACAAAAUUGAAUCACAACUGUAUGACACGUAAAAGGGCUGAUUAUUUUAAACUGCUAUUGAAAUCACAAAACAAACACAGUAAAGAUUUUGUUAAUAAAGUCAGUCAAUAAAAGGGUUUAGGAAGCAAGUUAUUUAGUAGCAGAACUUACUACCCAGAAAAGGAAAAGCCACACAGUUGGUGAGGACCUAAUAGUGUCAGCAUGUAAAAUUAUAGUGAGUAAAAUACUAGGACAAUAUGCAGCAUGAGAAAUUGAAAAGGUUUCACUCUCAAACAGUAUCAUAAGUCAAUAUAUUGAUGACAUGCCAUGUGAUGCUGAAGAGGUUUUGUGUGAUAAACUGAAGAACAACAGCUUCUCUGUCCAGUUUGAUAAGU